CAAAAAGUUUGCUUUCAAUUUUGGUGUAUUUUAUCCGAGAAUAUCACACCACCAGUACUAUUUAUAUGUUAUUUAAUGAUCUCCAUUGUACUUCUGGGAAGUUGAAGCUCAUGUGACCUAUUUAAGCUGUUAUGCAGCAAGAGCAUAAGAGCUGGAAGAGGAGGAGGAAUCUCCUAUCUCCCUGAGCAGUGUGCUGUCUGCUGGACCAUGAGCAGUGGUUGGCAGGAAUAUGAAUUUGGAGAGACAAAUGGCUCAUACAGAAUCAAUUCUUCCUGGAAUGAACUGAAAAUGGAUGUGUUGAGUGAUGUCUGCAUGCUAGAUGAUGUUUAGGGGCUGAGGGCUAGAACCAUGUUUAUAUCACAGUCUUUCCAUUCCCACAUGAAGCUGGAAAACAACAAUGAGAGCUGACAAGUGAGGUUUAGGUGUGUAGGAAUCAAGGCAGCAAUGUUCUUUUCUUCACACCGGAGAAGACAAGCAGAACAGCAAUUUACCCUUGGCCUGAGCGUGGAAAUCUUUCUCCAAAUUCAUGCCAGUAGCACUGUGACAUGUAACACGACAAGGGCGCAGUGGGUGUGAGACAGGAGGAACCUGAGUGGUAACUCAAGACUGUAUCAGAGGAGCUGAGCCCCUUUGGAGGAGAGAAUCCUGUCAUUUGGCAGAAAAGGCAGCAGCAGCAGCACAGCACUGUGACCUCUCCAGCUCCAUGAUUCUACACAGAAAGCAUCAAGAAGGAGAGAAGUGCACAACCACAGGAACCUUGACUCUUCCUUUUGGUGUACAGCAUGCUAAAGUGUAAAUUUAAAGUGCAGUAACUAGUUCUGCCCUGCUCCCAAUGGGAACAUCGGUAGAAAGAAGUGCCAUCAAGAUGAAGAAAGGAGUUUUAUUUAAGCAGAGUAGUUCGUAUCUGGUUGAUUAUUGAUCCUAACCCUAAGCAUGCAUGUGCCUGUGGUAGCUUCUCACUUGCUCUGGACACAAAUGACUCGUAUAGGUCAGCCUGGCCCUAAGGCUAUAUGUAAUUUAUUCUAUUAUGGUUUAAAUAAAGGUUAUAGGUAUUAUGAGAAGUGAAAAUGGCAAGAACAUAAGCUUUACCCUUACAUAAGCAUUGCGGGUAAAACUGUCCUCAGAAAUAAUUAAGAAUGCUGUGCAGAAACUGCAUUGGAAGAGUUACUAAGCGUAUUGUGUGGAUUAAAUGCCUCUUCUUUGUCUGAGCUGUUCGAUCUUUCUGUAGUGCAAAACAGCUACACAACAGGAUAGUUAAUGAUUUGGAUCUACAUAAAGUCUCAGGCUGAUAGCUCACUGAGUCUGUGGGGAAGAAAACCUGGGGAAAGCAUGCUGGAGGGGCUUGCAUUGCUCCUGGACGUAGAGCAUUCUCUUGCUUGAGAAUUGCUAGCAGGACAUCUGUGACCACAGGGUACUCAGAAUGGGUCCAUUUUACUUGUACUGUUUUUUUGAGGCAAGUUGAAUAUCCACAUUACAAAUGUUGCAUUCACAAUUACGAACUGGUUCUACUAUAUCCACACAAGCUAUCUUGAAAUUUAGCUGCAAAAGUGGAGUUUGCAAGAUGGUAUUUCUUAACUACCAUGGUACUGUGUGAUAGUUAAGAUGAUGGUUUAGCUUUAUUUUGAGUGUUCUUUAGGGGUUUUUUUGAGCCUUUAUAUUUGUUCAUCUGCCAUUUAAAGACUUAGAAUCCUCGUAAAUACUUUAAAUUGAAAAGUGGAACAAAAAACAGACUUAAUUCAAUGGAAACAAUUUCUCUUUAAAAUAAAUUAAAAAAAAAAUUCAGCCUGGUAAGUUGUAAAGUCUGCAUGCAA